ACUGCUCUUUGUUAUAUGUCUGGUCCCUGCGCCGUGCUGCUGCUGUGCUCCUCGCCGUCUCCCGGGAAGAAAACUCCCUGACCUUCCCACGUGCUGGGUACCAGCGAGGAAAGCGCGGAGCUGCCAGCGGGGGCCAGGUGGACCCGAACGCCGAGGGUUGAGGAAGUGCAGUUAGGGCGGGGACCGGUGAAGCCGAAUGCGGGCGCGGGCGCGCCGGGAGCUGUAGGCAGGACUUUCUGCCGCCCGUGUCGGCCUGUCCCCGCGCGGUGCGGAGCGCCGUGGUUCCGCGGGAGGUGAUCUGGAGUGGAGGCCGGCCGCGGGGGUGACCAUAAAUGCGGCAGAACUGGCAAAGUCCGGCGGCUUGCUGAGAAAGUGCUGCCAAGAGAGCUGCUGAGCCUCAAGAUCUCCAGAGACUAAAGAUGGGCACUUCCCUUGUCAGGCUUCGCUCUUCACGGAACGUGUGAUGUGGAGAGCCUGAAACUUGGCAUCUGGCAGCCUUCUGAGCAGCCCAGGGUGCCUGCAAGCUGCUGUCCUCUUGGGUGAGAGGAUCCCAUGUUGAUCUGAGAUACGUUUUGGAGACACUUAUGGCUCCUCAGAUACUUAGAACACUGCUAAAAUGCAUGGAUAAUGUCAUCUUAAGGUGCUCCAACAGGGACUUGUACUGACAGAGGUUCAGAAAUCCAAAACAAUCAAAUGGUUUAAUUUGUUAGAGCAACAGACACAACAGUUUUGUGAUUGACAGUGAUAAAUGCACUGACUGCAAGGUGAACUCAAGGUAGUAAAUCCUGCUGAACAGCCGGCACAGUCAGAGACGCUAAUCUUUGGAACAGCUCUCGUGUAGAACAGAAAUACAGCAAAAGCUCAGCCGCGGUUUGAAGGUGCAAAGCCCACCAAGGAGAGCGUCCCUGGCUCGGGUGGGAGGAAAGGAGCAAGCGCAAACCAUCAGCCAUUUCCAUCUCUGCCUGUUCUUCCAUGGCGCCACACGGGGGCGGUAAUGGUACAGCAAAGGAGCAGCAGGUCAUGUCUUCUGCAAGGUUUCUGACACAGAGCCAAAGCUCGUGGUAUGGUACAGCCUCCUUCUAAAUGAUCCUGCUGGCGUGCUGGGAAGGGUAAGAGGAUGCACUUCCUUAGUAAUCUCUAGUCCAUGGGUUGUGGUGUUGAAUGGAAACAAAAGAAACCAAAGUCAGUAUCAGGAUUUUCAGGAGUGUGUUCAGGUCUUGGAGAUUUUUGCAUCAGGAUUUCCUCUGCAUGAGACUGUAACAAACAAGGUGACUUGUAGAACUCAUCUGCAGUCAGUACAGUUAAGGGCAUACAAAUGCUGUCGGGGAGACUUGCAUGAUAGCUGCCUCCUGGGAUCAUCUCCCAGUGCUCUGUGUGUGUCUAACAGUGCCACCUCUAAGACAUUAAUCUGAUGCUACAGUCAUCACCUGAAAACAGCCAGGUGAACUGCAUGGCAGAGGUGCAUGAUGAAAGGGAAUUUUCAGUGUGUACAGCUAAGGAAACUAAAGUCAGGGUGAGGUAACCUCCAUGCUCUCUAGCUAUCUUUUAAGAAGAGCAGUGGCAUUUAACACCUUCUUCCCUUUUUCACUUAAACAUGUUGGAGUACAUUUUAAAGUUUCUUUGAGAGACUGGGCAAAUGGUCAGGGUUGGCAUUUUGAAGACAACUGGUCACGUAAGCAGACUCUGCCUCAGAUGUAGCUUUUAUUUGUGGAAUCAAGCCUUUAAUUCUUGUUUAUUAAAUGAUCAAAAUAGAAGGAGAAAACCCCAACAAUGCAAGGGAAUGUUAGCAUGUGCUGGGUUAAUGGAUGAAGCUGUGUUCCUGGAAAAGGUUUUUUUGCUGUGUUUUUCGUUUGGUUGGGUUUUUUUUGGUUGGGUUUUGAGUUGUGUUGGGUUUUUUUUACUUCUGGGAUAUAUUAAAUGUAUUUCAACUGAAGAACUGGAAAGGUUGCUUCUUAUUUUUAGCACACUCUUAAAGGGCAAGUAACUGAAUGUUGUUGCUACUGAAAUGGUCUGGUUUAGCUGCAGAAAGGUGUGGCCCAGAGAGGCAUGUGCAUUGUAAGUUGCUUGCUGUUAUCAACUCAAAACCACAGAGUUUGCUGUCUCUCCUCUCUCUGCCCAGUUUCUCCCCGUGCCCCCUUGGCUGGGUUGCACCUGUCAGGGUAGCAACUGCUGGAAGUGGGGUACUGUGAGCAGAGCUCCCUAUCCAGAUGUUUUGAAGAGCUAGUGAGUGCUUGCUCUUGCUGUCAUCUCUCCAGCAAGGUGAACUUCUGUGCUGUAAGCACUGGAUCACAGUGUCAAUAAUGGAUUUUUUCAGUUCCUAUUGAGAUCUUGACAACAAAAUCCCUGGCA